AGAAUAUUAGUCAAUGCUCGCAAGAGUGAACUAGCUAACUGAAAUCACAAGAUCCACUACGUGUGGUGAAUGUAAUAACGUAAGGGAAAAAAAUGAUAUUACCUUACUAUUAGUGUUGUCCAAAACUGGUGCCAGAAGACUCGGUAAGGCCAGAGACGCAAACAUUAGUCGUCCUAAUCAGGCGUAAAGGGUAUGUAGGCUGCUUUAAAAGUUUUAUAUUUAAUAGCUAUAUUUAAAAUAUUUAUCCAAAUAAGGGCAAAUAUAAAAUAAUAAAUAUAAAUGAAUUAAAGCUAGAAUCAAAUUGAGGAUAAGUCAAAUAAUACUUAGUGUAGGGUUUAAAUCUGGUGAUACUAAGGGGAGUACUAACGGUGAAAGCUUUUUAUCUAGAAAUGAUUGACGCUGAGAAACGAAGGUGAGAAUAGGAAAUAGGAUUAGAUACCCAGAUACCUCUCACAGUCAACGAUGAAUGGUGGUUGUUAGUUUAUUUUUUUUACUGAUAACGAUGUUAACACGAUAACCAUUCCGCCUUGCGAGUACGGUUGCAAAACUGAAACCAAAAAAAUUAGUCGGUCUCGAAGCAAACGAAGUGAAGCAUGUUAUUUAAUU
rnacentral:rRNA from 1 species